rnacentral:rRNA from 1 species
AUACGGAGGGUGCAAGCGUUACUCGGAAUCACUGGGCGUAAAGCGCGCGCAGGCGGUCUUUUAAGUUGGAUGUGAAAGCCUACGGCUCAACCGUAGAACUGCAUCCAAAACUAUUAGACUAGAGUGUGGGAGAGGAAGAUGGAGUUAGUUGUGUAGGGGUAAAAUCCGUAGAGAUAACUAGGAAUACCAAAAGCGAAGGCAAUCUUCUGGAACACUACUGACGCUGAGGCGCGAAAGCGUGGGGAGCAAACGGGAUUAGAAACCCCUGUAGUCC